UUCCGAAAGGAAUACUGGGAGCAUGAAUGUGGCAGCUGUAGGAAUGUUGAAUUUGGAGGGGACAGAUCAGCAAAGAAGUUACCGCUAUGACAAGGACAGUGACCAGCCCUUACCUGGCUGUGUGAGGCGCUGAUGCUGACUACUGACACCCCAUGAAACAGCUGUCCACAGAAAGAUCCAGCAGAAUCUGUACUGGCUGAUUACACUGCGCCCUUACCCCUUCCUGGAGGAGCCCGGGCCUCUCUCCACUUACCCAGGGGACCCUACAGGAUGUCGUAUGUUGCAGAAAACCCACUGCAUCGCCAGCCCCUAAAGAAGAAAUUGAAAAUGCGUGUGCAGCAGUCUCCAUGGCCAAGGUCACCCAGGCAGCAGGACCAGUAAAGGUCUGGAGCCCGUGGGCUCCAGUCUUGCCAUUGUGGAGGCCAGAGGUAACUGGUAUGAAUCUCAUAACGUCUCCGCAAA